rnacentral:rRNA from 1 species
CGGAGGAUCCAAGCGUUAUCCGGAAUCAUUGGGUUAAAGGGUCCGUAGGCGGUUUAGUAAGUCAGUGGUGAAAGCCCAUCGCUCAACGGUGGAACGGCCAUUGAUACUGCUAGACUUGAAUUAUUAGGAAGUAACUAGAAUAUGUAGUGUAGCGGUGAAAUGCUUAGAGAUUACAUGGAAUACCAAUUGCGAAGGCAGGUUACUACUAAUGGAUUGACGCUGAUGGACGAAAGCGUGGGUAGCGAACAGGAUUAGAUACCCUGGUAGUCCACGCCGUAAACGAUGGAUACUAGCUGUUGGGAGCGAUCUCAGUGGCUAAGCGAAAGUGAUAAGUAUCCCACCUGGGGAGUACGUUCGCAAGAAUG